rnacentral:rRNA from 1 species
GAUCAUGGCUCAGAUUGAACGCUGGCGGCAGGCCUAACACAUGCAAGUCGAACGGUAACAGGAAGCAGCUUGCUGCUUCGCUGACGAGUGGCGGACGGGUGGGUAAUGUCUGGGAAACUGCCUGAUGGAGGGGGAUAACUACUGGAAACGGUAGCUAAUACCGCAUAACGUCGCAAGACCAAAGAGGGGGACCUUCGGGCCUCUUGCCAUCGGAUGUGCCCAGAUGGGAUUAGCUAGUAGG